rnacentral:lncRNA from 1 species
UCCUACUACCCACGUCUCCUUACUUCUCCUGAGGAUUGGGCAAGGAUCAAGGCCUGGCCUUUUCCACCUUUCCCUUACCUCCACCCCCAAGAAUGACAAGUAUCUAUCUGGUUGAUUAGGACCCUGAUUAUCUUAUUGGCCACUGCCUGAGGCCCAGUUAGAACAAAGUAGUCUCUCUUUGGUCUCUUCAUGUGGCUGAUAGCACACAGCUGCUAUCAGUAGUCAAGCUUUUUCUUUCUGGACCCUGGGAACUCUGCCAUAAAUAUUCGGGCAAGUGCUCAUUUUGUGCUGGCUCUCGGCAUUUCUGGUGCUGGCAGGUGCAAAUUGAUACAUAUUUUUUUCCCCUGGAGAAGGAAGAUCUAAGGUUUUAGAUCAAAGAUAAAGAGAUUAUAGAGGCCUCCCGGCUUGGUAAAAG